rnacentral:rRNA from 1 species
UGGCCAAAGGUUCGAGCGGUAACAGGAAUUAGCUUGCUAAUUUGCUGACGAGCGGCGGACGGGUGAGUAAAGCGUAGGAAUCUGCCUGGUAGUGGGGGACAACAUGUGGAAACGCAUGCUAAUACCGCAUACGCCCUACGGGGGAAAGGAGGGGAUCUUCGGACCUUUCGCUAUCAGAUGAGCCUGCGUGAGAUUAGCUAGUUGGUGGGGUAAAGGCUCACCAAGGCGACGAUCUCUAGCUGGUCUGAGAGGAUGAUCAGCCACACUGGGACUGAGACACGGCCCAGACUCCUACGGGAGGCAGCAGUGGGGAAUAUUGGACAAUGGGCGCAAGCCUGAUCCAGCCAUGCCGCGUGUGUGAAGAAGGCCUUCGGGUUGUAAAGCACUUUCAGAGGUGAGGAAGGGUG